UCGUCGUUACGUUCUGAGUUCAAAUUCCGCCGAGGUCGAUUUUUCCUUUCAUCCUUUCGGGGUCGAUAAAUUAAGUACCAGUAAAACACUGAGGUCGAUGUAAUCGACUAGUUCCCUCCACACAAAUCUGAGGCCCUGUGCUUCCACUAGAAAUUAUUAUUAUUAUUAUUAUUAUUAUUAUUAUUAUGGCGGCGAGCUGGCAGAAUCGUUAGCAUGCCGGGCGAAAU